rnacentral:rRNA from 1 species
AUUAGAUACCCUAUUAUUUUUGAUGUGAAGGAUGUGAAGCUUGAGUAUUAUUAGAUAUGAUCUUGAAACUUAAAGAAUUUGGCGGUACUAUAGUCUAUUUAGAGGAAUCUGUUAUGUAAUCGAUAAUCCACGUUGAACCUUACUUAUAUGAAUUCUUGUAUACCGCUGUUUAAUGAAUAUACUUUAAGGUAAUUUUCUGGAAAAAUUAAUAAUUAGAAUUUCAAGUCAAGGUGCAGUUAUGUAUAAGAUAAAUAAUGGAUUACAAUAAAUUUUAUUUAAUAUAUGAAUAAUUGUUGGAAGAAUAAUUUGAAGGUGGAUUUAAUUGUAAUGUUUUAAAGAUUAUUUAAAUGAUUUAUAGCUCUAUAGUAUGCACACAUCGCCCG